CGCGCCGCUGCUGACGGCAUCACUCCCGCACCAGCCAACAUGGAAGGUGGUGACGGCGGCGUCUCUAUGGCUGGCCGUGGGGCUCCGGGUUCUGGAGCUGCUGCAGCCACUGUCCGGGAGCUCCUGCAGGACGAGUGUUAUAGUGAUUUUUUAAAUGAAGACUUUGAUGUAAAGACUUAUACUUCUCAAUCUAUUCAUCAAGCUGUAAUUGCUGAACAACUAGCAAAACUUGCCCAAGGAAUCAGUCAGUUGGAUAAAGAACUACACUUACAGGUCGUUGCAAGACAUGAAGAUUUAUUGGCACAAGCAACUGGAAUUGAGUCUUUGGAAGGUGUCCUUCAGAUGAUGCAGACAAGAAUUGGGGCUUUACAGGGAGCCGUUGAUAGGAUGAAAGCAAAAAUUAUUGAGCCAUACAAUAAAAUAGUAGCCCGUACUGCUCAACUAGCAAGACUUCAGGUUGCCUGUGAUUUGCUUCGGAGAAUCAUUCGCAUCUUAUAUCUCAGUAAGAGACUCCAAGGACAACUGCAGGGGGGAAGUAGAGAGAUAACAAAAGCUGCUCAGAGUCUCAAUGAACUUGAUUAUCUUUCUCAAGGAAUAGACCUUUCUGGAAUAGAAGUGAUAGAAAAUGAUCUACUUUUUGUUGCAAGAGCUCGACUUGAAGUGGAAAAUCAAGCUAAGCGCCUACUGGAGCAGGGUGUGGAGACUCAGAAUCCAACCCAGGUCGGAACCGCUCUUCAGGUUUUCCAUAAUCUUGGAACUUUGAAGGACACUAUUACCAAUGUUGUGGAUGGAUAUUGUGCUGCAAUAGAAGAAAAUAUCAACAGUGCAUUAGAUAUCAAAGUUUUGACUCAGCCUUCCCAGUCAGCUGUGAGAGGGGGACCUGGACGAUCUACCAUGCCAACCCCAGGGAACACUGCAGCUUUUCGUGCUUCCCUCUGGACCAACAUGGAGAAACUUGUGGAUCAUAUUUUUACUGUUUGUGGUCAGGUGCAACAUCUACAAAAAAUAUUAACCAAGAAGAGGGAUCCUGUCUCUCACAUUUGUUUCAUUGAAGAAAUAGUUAAGGAUGGACAGGCUGAAAUUUUAUAUACAUUUUGGAAUUCAGUUACUCAAGCACUUUCUUCUCAAUUUCAGACAGCAACAAAUUCUUCUAUGUUUUUGAAACAGGCAUUUGAAGGCGAAUACCCAAAAUUAUUGCGGCUUUAUAAUGACUUAUGGAAGCGUCUUCAACAAUACAGCCAAAAUAUUCAAGGAAAUUUUAAUGCAAGUGGAACUGCAGACCUCUAUGCUGACUUACAACACAUGGACGAUGAUACACAAGAUGUAUUCAUACCGAAAAAGCCAGAUUAUGAUCCAGAAAAGGCUUUGAAAGACUCACUACAACCCUAUGAGGCUGCAUAUCUAUCAAAAUCAUUAUCUCGACUCUUUGAUCCUAUCAACUUGGUUUUUCCUCCUGGUGGUCGUAAUCCUCCUUCUGCUGAUGAACUUGAAGGUAUCAUUAAAACUAUAGCGAGUGAACUAAACGUAGCUGCUGUUGAUUCAAACCUCACAUUAGCUGUGUCAAAAAAUGUGGCAAAGACCAUCCAGUUGUAUGGGGUAAAAUCAGAGCAGCUGCUCUCCACACAAGGGGAUGCAAGUCAGGUGAUUGGACCUCUUACCGAAGGACAGAGAAGAAAUGUGGCAGUAGUAAAUUCACUAUAUAAGUUGCACCAAUCAGUAACAAAGGUGGUUUCCAGUCAGAGCUCAUUCCCACCAGCAGCUGAGCAAACUAUAAUUUCAGCCCUAAAGGCGAUCUAUGUUCUUAUGGGAAAUGCUGUGCAACCCUUGCUGACUUCUGUGGGUGACGCCAUCGAGGCUAUCAUCAUCACUAUGCAUCAAGAAGAUUUUUCUGGAUCAUUACCCAAUUCAGGAAAGCCUGAUGUUCCCUGUUCUCUCUACAUGAAGGAGCUUCAAGGUUUCAUUGUCAGAGUUAUGAGUGACUACUUUAAACACUUUGAAUGCUCGGAUUUUGUCUUUGACAACACUGAAGCUAUUGCCCAAAGAGCCAUCGAACUUUUUAUCCGCAACGCCAGUCUCAUUAGACCUCUUGGUGAAGGUGGGAAAAUGCGACUUGCUGCUGAUUUUGCACAGAUGGAGUUGGCUGUGGGUCCAUUCUGCAGAAGAGUAUCUGAUUUGGGAAAGUCCUAUCGAAUGCUGAGGUCAUUCAGACCACUGCUCUUCCAGACAAGUGAACACGUGGCCAGCAGCCCUGCACUGGGGGACAUAAUUCCAUUCAGCAUCAUUAUUCAGUUUUUGUUCACAAGAGCACCCCCUGAGCUGAAAUCCCCCUUCCAGAGGGCAGAGUGGUCCCACGCACGCUUCUCCCAAUGGCUGGAUGAUCACCCUUCUGAAAAGGACAGGCUCCUCCUCAUCAGUGCUGUCCUGUGCCUCAUGCAGCCCUAAGAACCUUGCACCUUGAAAACCAUCUUCAGCUAUGAAAUGACUCCUGGCCUUGGCUCCACAUUUUCUGCUUCAUUUCCACACGGGCAGUUACUGAAGUGGUGGAGUACAGCCGUGAGGGUGCUCUGGAAGCUUAUGUUCAAUCAGUAAGAAGCAGAGAAGGCAAAGAAUUUGCACCGGUUUAUCCCAUAAUGGUUCAGCUGCUUCAGAAAGCUAUGUCUGCUCUUCAGUAAGAAUGUGAAGUAUUUCUUAAUCUCCAUUUUGUGCUAACCCAUCCAGGGGUGGCAAAUACAUACUCUAAAAAGACAGCUACCAUCUACUGUUCCAUGAAUGUAAUUGACUUUUCUGUAUUUCCUUGUUGACCUCUUCUGUUUACCUCUUAAGCUCUUCUACCUUAAGUAGCAUAAAAUGUCAAAAUAGAUUCAUCACCACCUUGAAA